GACGAACCGAGCGAACGUUGUUCGGAAUCACUGGGCUUAAAGGGCGCGUAGGCGGGUGCUCAAGUCCGUGGUGAAAUCCUCCGGCUCAACCGGAGAACUGCCUCGGAUACUGGGUGCCUCGAGGGUGGUAGGGGUAUGCGGAACUAUCGGUGGAGCGGUGAAAUGCGUAGAGAUCGGAAAGAACACCAACGGCGAAAGCACUCUGCUGGGCCGACACUGACACUGAGAGACGAAAGCUAGGGGAGCGAAUGGG
rnacentral:rRNA from 1 species